GAUAAUUAUUAGGGAUAUAUGGAGAUAUUAUGGGAAAAGAAAGAUUUGUUUUUUUUCUUUCUUCUUGGGUGAACGUGCACCUCAUCUGGCAUUCUCCGGAGACUUUUCUUUCCAGGAGAUUUUUUUUUCACGGCUAGCUUAUCCUCUCAUCCGGCAUUCUCACGACACGUAGCUUUCUAGCCGCUCUUCCCAUCCGAAUCACUCCACGCAUGUCUGUAAAAAUCUCACCGCUGUUGAUCCUCUCGCGAGCUCGGCUUCCAGCUGUGUCCGGUGUUGUCUUCAGCCGCCGCACCUGAAGCAACUCGCCUCUCUGUUCUUCCACGCAGCACCAGACGCACGACUCUCCUCUGUCUUCUCUGUGCCGCCUCCUCGCCGAGCUGCGCGCUGCCAACCGCGCCGGUGAACUCGCCCGGUCCGGCGCACUGCUCGUCUCGGCUCCUUUGGAAAUCCUUCGCGAACGUCUCGUCAAGUUGUCAGGCCUGUCUUCGAGUUUGGUGGAGUCCCAAGCUUGCGCGCCGUCGGCCUCUACCUCCUGUGUCCGAUCGUCGUCGCCCCUGCUCACUUCAUCCAACUGCUCCCUUCAUCUCGGCCGAGCUCGACGUCCAGCAAGCCGCCUGCUCGUGUUCCAUCUCUUCAACCAUCAGCUUCCGUGGAACACACUGAUCACGUUGUCUGUUGAUCAAUCACUUGGUGGAGUAAUUUUCUAGAGACUGGUCAUCACCCUGAAGACUCGUGACAUUUUAUUUUCUUAGUCUUCGGCUCUUCUCUGCAACAAAGG